CUUGAAUAUACUUUCAGAGAAAUGUCAGCAAAAACUAUAGUCAUUUGGAGAAGAACAAGUCUGGAAGAAAAAUACACAGAGGACUAGCACCAAGAGGAUCAAUAACCACAAAGAUAAGCUUCUUCUGGUUAACUGGCAAAAAGCCUGGAUGGGAGAAUUUUCCUCUUCUGGGAUUCAAACAAGUGUCUAUAACCUACAGCGGUGAGAACUGGUCCAUAUACAUCCUAGAAGACCAUGCUUAGCAGUAAGUUAAAGGAACAAAGCUAAGGACUUUGUAUUUGCUGUGUAACAAAUCACCUCAAAACGUGAUGGCUUCAAACAACAAUCGUAGAGCAUUGCUCACAAGUCUAAAG